CACGUAGUUAGCCGAUCCUUAUUUAUAAGUUACCAUCAUAUUUCUCGCUUAUAAAAGCAGUUUACAACCCGAAGGCCUUCAUCCUGCACGCGGCGUUGCUCCAUCAGGCUUUCGCCCAUUGUGAAAGAUUCCCUACUGCUGCCUCCCGUAGGAGUCUGGGCCGUGUCUCAGUCCCAGUCUGGAUGAUCAUCCUCUCAAACCAUCUAACGAUCGUCGACUUGGUGAGUCCUUUACCUCACCAACUAUCUAAUCGUACGCAGGCCAUUCCCAAAGCGCAUAAAUGCUUUAAUCCGAAGAUCACAUGCGGUAUUAGCCACUCUUUCGAGUAGUUAUCCCUCACUUCGGGGUAUGUUCCCACGCGUUACUCAGCCGUCCGCCGCUCGUCAGCAGCUUCACUGUUCCCUGUAUCAGACCACUUGCUACAAGGCCAAGUGCGACAAGAGAACGGUGAAGCCCUGCCUACCGCUCGACUUGCAGUGUA
rnacentral:rRNA from 1 species